UUGUAAAUUUUUGAAGCCAUCAAGACCUGUCUUUUUGGACUGCUCUUCUGAUAGUGCUACGCUUUGUAUUGUUUAGCCUUUUUGCGCUUUACUCAUCGAGUUUUACCCAAAACUAGCGCUGCAUUUUUGUUUCGACGGAGUGCUGUUAGAAUUUAACCACUCCGUGGAAGCUGUAGCACCCCCACCUUAUUCACCCCAUCCCACCACCCUAGAAUACGGUGGCGAGAAAGUAAGUGUGACGGGGUGGGGUAAAUAGGGUGGGGGUGCUACAACUUGUAUAUAAGGAUGAAACAAACCCACGACGUUUAGUCUUAAUGUUGACGUCACAGCGCUAACAUACCAGACACUUCCAUCACCACAAAACUAUAUUUCCAAACCAUGGCUCUACAAAGAUGUUCAUCGCCAACUCGCACUGUCGAGAGACACACUUCCACACAGGAGGAACUUGACUCCACCUGCAGGGAAUAUAGAAAUUUCGUCAAAAAUUUCGAGAAGCCCGAGGAUUUGACGAAAAUAAUGACGAUCCGAGGAGUUGGAAGGGCGCACCUCCCAGGAAUUAUUUCUGGAAAUUUGAGGGUCCGGCAGACA